UGUACAAAGGUAGCAUAAUCAUUUGUGUUUUAAUUGGAUUCUGGAAUGAAUGGUUGGACGAGAAUUAUACUUUCUUUGGUUUUUGUGAAAAAAUUAAUUUUUGGGUUAAAAAGCCUAGAUUUUAUUGUAGGACGAGAAGACCCUAUAGAACUUUUAUUUUGGAAGAUAUAAUUUUUUUGGUAAAUUAAAAUUUUUAUAUUUGAGAAAAUUGUGUUGGGGCGACAGAAAAAAUUUUAUAACUUUUUUUAUUUUAAUCAUUUAUGGAUGAAAUAUAGGAUCUUUUUUUAGGAAAAAAAGACUAAGUUACCUUAGGGAUAACAGCGUUAUUACUUUAGAGAGUUCAUAUUGACAAAGUAGUUUGCGACCUCGAUGUUGAAUUAAAAAAGGUGCCAGGAGUAGAAGAUUGGUGACCAGGUCUGUUCGACCUUUGAAUUUUUACAUGAUCUGAGUUCAAACCGGAGA
rnacentral:rRNA from 1 species